CCCCCAAGUUGAAAGUAGGCAUAGUAUGACUAGAUGGAGGGACUCUGACUGAGGGUCCUACCUUAGGAUCAGCUGAACUCAGUCUGGGCAAGGGAGAAGAUGGACCCUCCCCCUUAGCAUGCUCCUCCUCAUCAUCACUCUCCUCCUCAAUAGCUGCAGCUCGACCUUUGGCCCACCGACCAUCAACUCUCACAAAAUCCAUGUGCCUAAGAGAGUGGUUAUUGUAGAUGUCAGUAUAUGACAAUCUACAAACAACCUCUCCCUCAAAACUAACUCCAGACUCUAUAAAAAUAAUAGUAAGGGCCAUACCGUAG
rnacentral:lncRNA from 1 species